CAGUUGGUUGGCUAUGUGAGCUUUCAUCUUGUAGGUGAGGGUUUGAUUCCUCGCAUUGUAAUCCCCUUCCCCAACCCCAAUUUUAAGAACGAACUGGACGAGCACUUUCAUCAGGGCUGUCUGCAGAGUAAAAUUGGAUGGACAACUGUAGAUAUAACGAUGGUACACAUUCACAGGUCAGAGGCAGGCUUCAAUUGUUGAUGCUGACCAUCUACCGUGCUCAACUGUCUUCUCAAUCUUGCGAUAUGACCUUGCACCUGCUGCCGAGCUGCUGUAAGUUUUAACAAUUCAUCUGCUUCAGAGAAAUUUGUGAACCAUUGACUUAGAGGAUGAUCUUUGGUGUCGCCACGUUUCCUUUGAUCAACAUCUUCUAUAGGUACAGGAGGAGGCAAAUUUAGGCCAGGAGGUAGUCUAGGCACAUUGACUGCUGGAUUGUUCUGUACACGGG
rnacentral:misc_RNA from 1 species